UUUAUUUAUUUAUUUAUUGGCAUUAUGCAGGGCUUAUGUAGGCAAACAUACUGAUGAAGUUUCCUGGAUGCAGCUUCCCGGUUCUGUCAAGAAGAUUCUAUCUUAAGGAGGGCAUCCCGCCCCUCUUCUGGCUCCUAGGAUCUUCACAGCCUCUUACUUUUGAAGGAAUGCGGGCCUCCCAGGCCACAGGCAAAUAGUUUUUCGCUUUGGGUGCUGUUCUGCAGCCCUGUGGAGGAUCACAUUUGCAUAGAUGGCUUCCAGGCUCCCUUUCUGCUCCCACACUUUGCCUGGAACCCGCUGUGUUUCCUGCUGAAUGCUUUUGAAGGUUUCUGUUCUGUUGCAAAUGGAGACAUUGCUUCCUGUGGCUGUGGCUAUCACAUGCAAAUAAACCAGAGAUUGCUGGAAGGUGCUGGACCUGUGGAAGGCAGGGUCUAGUUGGAGGAAGUGGGUAACUGGAGGUGUGACUUUGAAGCGUUUGCCUUAGCGCCGGCCUCCUUCCCAUUACUUCUCUCUGCUUCCUGGAUGCAGGACACAAGCAACUUUGAUCUCACUACCGGCUCUGCCACCAACGUGUUCUACCUCGGUUUAGGAAGAAAAAAAAAAAAAGAGGCAACUCACCAUGAACAUAAAUCUUGGACUCUGUGACUUCAGAUUGCUUGACUUUAUAAUCUUUGCAUGUGUGUUCCCCAGUUCUAAAUACAAAACUAGAUCUUUUGGAUCAGGGAUGGUCAAUUUGGAACGACAUCGAGGACAGUGACCCUCUGGCUGGGUCUACCUGAGGUAUCCUGGUGUUUUUCCUGUUAUGAGGAGCCAUUUGUUAUGGUGGCCAGAUCCUUCCUUGUACCUGAACGAGGAGCAUUGAGGAUCCUGGAACCACAUGGAAAAGUUUCUAGGGAAAGAUAAAUCCGAAGUUUAUUGGAGUCUGGGGAGAUGGCUCAGCUAGCAGAAAGCUCAGCUCGUUAGACAUGAGAGACCCUGCCCCCCAAAGUAAGAUGGAGAAUGACUGAAGAAGACACUCACUGUCAACUUCUGGCCUCUACAUGCUAGCACACACACAUGUACACACAUCACAUGCAUACACAUACAUACACACCCCAGUAAGGUGGAAAGCAACUGAGGAAAACACCUAAUAUCAACCUCUGAACUCUACAUGCAUGCACAUACAUGCACAUCACAUGCACACCCCAAUACGAUGUAAAGUAACCAAACAAAGAAACCUAAGGCAAGGCUCUAGGGAAAUAAAUAGCCCAGUUAGUAACGUAUCUUUCUUCAAACACAGGGACCCAAGAAAGUUGUAGAAGUACUGGCGAGUCUUCAGGCUGGUUCCAUCAUUCUGUUCACGUGCGGGGCCAGAGUGUGGUCAUUGCCUAGUGGACCUCAAGGCAGAAGGAGGCAAUGUUGCAGGGUUUAUUGGCACAAGGGUGGUCAGGGCCAAAUGGGCCUUGUGAGAAGAACAUGGCACUAGGGAAGAGGUGACACCCUGUAAGUGAAGGGAGGAGUCCUGAAUCUGGAUGUUGUGAUGAGGAAGGCAAGCUGGGAUGACAAGUGUCCAGGACCUGAACUCAAUGUCUGACUGUUGAGUGAAGAAUCUCAAGUCCCAUCCAUAUGAAAACCUAUCUAACUAGCUUUGAAGGGCAUGCAGGGAGGAGAGAGGUUGACCUACUUCUUGGAUGACCAAGUGAGCCCGAAGCCAAGACACCAACUUGGAAUUUCUUUCAAGAGGAGGGUCUUCUGUGAGCCACAUGUUUCAGAUGCCAACACCCGUGAGCUGGAGCUGAUUGUUGACUGUAUCUCAGCCACUGUCCAUCCUGUUCUGGGUGAUAGUUUGAUUAGGGUCAAGACAAGGAGAUAGGAACAGGAGACAUGGAGAGGAGCCUCCACUAUCAGGAAGAUGAUUCUGAAGAAAAGGAACUUUAGAUGAACCAGCGUUAGAAUUACCGAACCCAAGACUACCGGCCCAGGAAUGGCACCACCCACACCACACCACAUCACCUUGAUCACUAAUUGAAAAAAUGCCUUGCAGCUGGAUCUCAUGGAGGCAUUUCUUCAAUGGAGGCUCCUUCCUCUGUGAUAACUCCAGCUUGUGUCAAGUUGACACACAAAACCAGCCAGUACAGGUGGGCUGACUUGCUCCAAGUUCUUCAAUCAGAAAUAGAGAAACUGGAGCCCCGUAGAUGGGCGUUCUCCAGGAUCAUGUCUGAUUCACAGAUAGAUUCCAGCCUUUGAGCAGACGGGGCUCUCAGUGGUUUGAUUCAUUAGGUAGAGAGAGCUUAACAAACAACAUUCGCUUCACACAGGGUUUGGUAUCUGGAGCUCCAGUGGCCAUUUUGUGACCAUGAGCAGAAGUGAAAGGGACAUUCAAGGAGGUGCUUAAAUUACCCCACCCUGGGACACCUACCAUUUUCCUCCAAUGACAUAAUUAAGUGUUUGUAUCUCUAAGUCAUCUUCUCUACUUUGAAAGAAAGCUCCCAGGCAGAAAGCAUUGCGCCUGGCCCAGAGGCUAAGUGUGAGCAUGGGCUUCUUGUUUAGCCUUUGUGUGUACCCUCUGUACUGUCUGCAGAACCACCCCUCGGGCAGGACUUAUUUCCUAAGGCUCGUAAUGGCUAAUAUUGUCAACUCAAUAAGAUCUGGAAUCACCCAGGAGACAAAUCUCUGGGCCUGCCUGUGAUAGAUUUUCUAGGUUAGGCUAACUGCAUUAUCAUGUCUUUGAGACCCACCCUGAAAGGGGGCAGCACUAUGAAAAUGGGCCGGGGAGCCAGACUCCAUGGAAGAGAGACAGCAAGCUGAGCACCAACAGUCAUUUCUUCCUGCUUCUCAACUGCGGAUGCCAUGUGACCAGCUGCCCGAAGCUCCUGCCACCAUGCCCUGCCCUGCCCUGCCCUCCAGGGUGGCCUAUAUACCCUUGAACUGUGAACCCAACCCCCCUUUUGCCUUUAAGUGGUAUUUUGUCACAUGUUGUCACAGCAAUUCGAAGAGUAUAACUAACACAAGGCUGAACGAUGCAUUUUGCUGAGAGCCUGGCUUGGUCUCCUUUCCUUUUAAACAAACUCAAGCAUUCCAGGGUGCCAUGUGGAGUCAGGUGCCAGGGCCACGUUAUGUGAUCUUCAGCACGCUCACCGACCGACCCAUUGCCAUGCCUCACGGUAGGUUGGCAUCCGGGCUGCAUAGCUUGCGUUCUUCCCUUUCCUGGGGAGUUCACUGGGCGAGCUUCUCUCCCUUUGCCUGUUG
rnacentral:lncRNA from 1 species